rnacentral:rRNA from 1 species
AUUGAACGCUGGCGGCAGGCCUAACACAUGCAAGUCGAACGAGUGGCGGACGGGUGAGUAAUGUCAGGGAAACUGCCAGAUGGAGGGGGAUAACUACUGGAAACGGUAGCUAAUACCGCAUAAUAUAAGAUGUGCCCAGAUGGGAUUAGCUAGGAGGUGGGGUAAUGCCUCACCUGGGCGGCGAUCCCUAGCUGAUCUGAGAGGAUGGCCGGCCAACCUGGAAUUGAGACACGGUCCAGACGCCUACGUGAGGCAGCAGUGGGGAAUAUGGCACAAUGGGCGCAAGCCUGAUGCAGACAGGCCGCGUGGUUGAAGAGGGCCUUCGGGUUGUAAAGCACUUUCAGCGAGGAGGCGUUACUCGCAGAAGAAGCACCGGCUAACUCCGUGCCAGCCGCCGCGGUAAUAC